rnacentral:rRNA from 1 species
GACGAACGCUGGCGGCGUGCUUAACACAUGCAAGUCGAACGGAAAGGCCCUGCUUUCGUGGGGUGCUCGAGUGGCGAACGGGUGAGUAACACGUGAGUCACCUGCGCUUGACUUUGGGAUAACUUCAGGAAACUGGGGCUAAUACCGGAUAGGAGCUCCUGCUGCAUGGUGGGGGUUGGAACGCUUCGGCGGUUGUGGAUGGACGCGCGGCUUAUCAGCUUGUUGGUGGGGGAGUGGCCUACCCAAGCUUUGACGGGUAGCCGGCCUGAGAGGGUGACCGGCCACAUUGGGACUACGAUAGGGCCCAGACUCCUACGGGAGGCAGCAGUGGAGAAUAUUGCACAAUGGGCGGAAGCCUGAUGCAGCAACGCCGCGUGCGGGAUGACGGCCUUCGGGUUGUAAACCGCUUUCGCCUGUGACGAAGCGUGAGUGACGGUAAUGGGUAAAGAAGCACCGGCUAACUACGUG